UAAAGCCAGGCUAGGAUGUAAGCCUCGAGGACAUGACCACGAAAGUGCCAGCAACUCCAGAAUCAACGAGAGAUGGGAAACAACAGCAGAACUCAUUGAUGAGCAAGUGAGUUUUUGCGUAAUCUAGCCAUGGCGAAGACGUCGACCAAGCAUAGAACGGUGAAAAGUCCAAGUCUUGUCAUGGUCAAGUGCGAUCUUUAUUGUGACGAUCAAGGAAAAACUUUACCGAGCAGCACUGUGGGUCUGGAUUAUAU
rnacentral:lncRNA from 1 species